UUGUGCUCCCUUGAGCCUUUUCACAGUUUGAACAAGGACAGCUCACCUGCCCUGGUAAAUACUUUGGUGAAUGAGUUACUUGCACGGCUACUCUGGAUGUGCUCGAGAUAGAGGACCCGACUAUACCUACACGGGACGCAACUGAGUUGCUCCUAGAUUUUCUGUCGAUACCAAAGGAAAAGUCGUACUACUAGUAUUGUGUAGAAAUGUUGUAUUGCCGAAGAUAAAAGCAGGCCGAAAGGUAGUUGACGCAACAAGUAACCAUAGUCGUUUUUCGCCUGCCGUCCAUGCAAGGAGACAGGGGUUCCUUGCUUUGGAAGCCAUUAUCUCGCUCUGGUGUGGCAUUCGAUACAUUGGACGAAGACAGCGGCGUUCCUAGCGGAAUUCAACCCGGUGAGUCCUUCGUCGGCAUCGACUGGAAAUGCGUCACGACAUUUCGCCAUUGGGCAGGACACAGUCAUGACUCCCUAAGCACCUUUGAGGUUCCGGCCAACGGCUCGACAAAAAAACGACCGCGACGAUGUCAUGGGUCUAGUCACCAUUGUGCUGGCGGAAUGCGAACACUGAGAGGCACAUGUCCCUGCGAACGACCUGGAUGGCAGAUACUCGGCGGCUGCGGAAGGAAUGAAGCAAAGAAUAUGGUGUGCUCUACUCUUUUGAUGCAAGACAGCAGGAGUAUGUGCCCCGAUAUGACAUGCAGUACUCCGAAUGGGAUUCUGAAAUGUCCGCUUACUAUGGGAUGAGGAAGUGGAUGGAGCGACGG